rnacentral:tRNA from 1 species
GGGAGCAUGGCUCAAUUGAUAAAGUAUUUGCCUAAGAAGGGAGAGGCUCUGAGUUCAAAUCUUAGUGCUGCCA